CAAGUCGAACGCGAAAGUGGAGCAAUCCAUGAGUAGAGUGGCAAACGGGUGAGUAACGCGUGGGCGACCUACCUUCGAGUGGGGGAUAACCUUCCGAAAGGAGGGCUAAUACCGCAUGACAUCCCGUGUGUGGAUACACGGAUAUCAAAGCCGGGGAUCGCAAGACCUGGCGCUUGAAGAGGGGCCCGCGUCCGAUUAGCUAGUUGGUGAGGUAACGGCUCACCAAGGCUCCGAUCGGUAUCCGGCCUGAGAGGGCGGACGGACACACUGGAACUGAGACACGGUCCAGACUCCUACGGGAGGCAGCAGUGGGGAAUUGUUCACAAUGGGCGCAAGCCUGAUGACGCAACGCCGCGUGGAGGAUGAGGACUUUCGGGUCGUAAACUCCUUUCGACCGAGAUGAAUUUCCGCCGGCCUAACAUGCCGGCGGGGUGACAGUAUCGAGGGAAGAAACCCCGGCUAACUCUGUGCCAGCAGCCGCGGUAAUACAGGGGGGGUAAGCGUUGUUCGGAAUU
rnacentral:rRNA from 1 species